AAUUAAUAAAUGCAUAAGCCACUCAAAUUAAAAGUAUCGAUAGGAAACCGACUGUUUCUAGCGCAAGUGGCAAAGAGCUCGGUGAUUGAUACUUGAGAUUUCAAAUUCGAAUUCUAGUUGAAUCACAUUUCCAGCUAAGUUUAUUUAUAAAAGAAAUAAACGAAACGGAUAGCAUGCUACCUUUUUUAAAAAAAAAAAAAUGAAAGAAACUUCAAAUACCCUUCCCGUGGUUUCACACUUUCUUACUUUAGUACCCUGUGGUUUAAAGUAUAUCAAGCUAGUACUCUGUGGUUUCGCACUUUUUUACUUUAGUACCAUGUAGUUUCAAGUGUAUCAAGUUAGUACCCUGUGGUUUCGCACUUUCUCACUUUAGUACCCUGUGGUUUAAUAUUUCGUUAAAUUAUAUAUACCUCGAAAUGGAUAAUAAAAAAAUAAAAUUGAAACCACAUGGUACUAACUUGAUAUAAAAAUGAAACUACAGGAUACUAACUUGAUACACUUGAAACCAUAGGAUACUAAAGUGAAAAAGUAUGAAACCACAGGAUACUAACUUGAUACAUUUUAAACCAUAGGGUACUAAAGUAAGAAAGUGCGAAACCACAGGAAAAGUAUUUAAAAUUUUCCAAAAAAAAAAAAAAA
rnacentral:lncRNA from 1 species